UACGGAGGGUGCGAGCGUUGUCCGGAAUCACUGGGCGUAAAGGGUGCGUAGGUGGCCAGGUAAGUUCGGUGUGAAAGCUCGGAGCUUAACUCCGAAAUGGCAUUGAAUACUAUCUGGCUGGAGGGUCGGAGGGGAGACUGGAAUUCUCGGUGUAGCAGUGAAAUGCGUAGAUAUCGAGAGGAACACCAGUGGCGAAGGCGAGUCUCUGGACGACUCCUGACACUGAGGCACGAAAGCCAGGGGAGCAAACAGG
rnacentral:rRNA from 1 species